rnacentral:rRNA from 1 species
AGUGAACGCUGGCGGCGUGCUUAACACAUGCAAGUCGAACGAGAACGGAUUAUAGCUUGCUAUAAUUGUCAGCUAAGUGGCGCACGGGUGAGUAAUGUAUAGGUAAUAUGCCUCUUACUAAGGGAUAACAAAUGGAAACGUUUGCUAAUACCUUAUACUCCUUAUUAACAGAAGUUAAUAAGGGAAAGAUUUAUUGGUAAGAGAUUAGCCUGUAUUGUAUCAGUUAGUUGGUGGGGUAAUGGCUUACCAAGACUAUGACACAUAACUGGUUUGAGAGGAUGAUCAGUCACACUGGAACUGAGACACGGUCCAGACUCCUACGGGAGGCAGCAGUGGGGAAUAUUGCACAAUGGACGAAAGUCUGAUGCAGCAACGCCGCGUGGAGGAUGACACAUUUCGGUGCGUAAACUCCUUUUAUAUGAGAAGAUAAUGACGGUAUUAUAUGAAUAAGCACCGGCUAACUCCGUGCCAGCAGCCGCGGU